rnacentral:rRNA from 1 species
UGGGGAAUUGUUCACAAUGGGCGCAAGCCUGAUGACGCAACGCCGCGUGGAGGAUGAAGGUCUUCGGAUUGUAAACUCCUGUUGCUCGGGACGAAAAGCUUCGACCUAACACGUCGAAGUCUGACGGUACCGAGUUAUGAAGCCCCGGCUAACUCUGUGCCAGCAGCCGCGGUAAUACAGAGGGGGCAAGCGUUGUUCGGAAUUACUGGGCGUAAAGGGCGCGUAGGUGGCCUUCUAAGUCGAACGUGAAAUCCCUGGGCUCAACCCAGGAACUGCGUCCGAGACUGGGAGGCUUGAAUCCGGGAGAGGGAUGCGGAAUUCCAGGUGUAGCGGUGAAAUGCGUAGAUAUCUGGAGGAACACCGGUGGCGAAGGCGGCAUCCUGGACCGGUAUUGACACUGAGGCGCGAAAGCCAGGGGAGCAAACGGGAUUAGAUACCCAAGUAGUCCCUGAGCGGGCUGGCAAGGCGCAU